UUAACCUUCCUGGAAUCUGGAAUCGUUUGCACUUUUGCUGAUUUUUUAUUCCUUUGCAUAGAUCCUUGCGGUAACAAAAUUACGUAAAACAUUCUAAAUACAUAUUUUUUGGUUUGAAAUAACACAUCUAUUUCUUCGACUCGUGGAUACGCGUGGAUUUUGCUGCAAAUUAUACCGUUGAUACAUAUAGUUCAUACAAUUUUUUUGUGCAUUGAUCCAAUUGUACAUAUUUCCAAACCUUAAACAUGAAGGAUUUUGCGUAUAAAAUCGUUUUAAACUUUAAAAUCUUGAGUGGGAUGUAUCUUCUGGAGUGUUGGGAAAAAAGGGCGAUAUGCUUAGGAUUCAGCCUCAUUCUUGGGAUUAUUUUUCUAUUGACGUGGAUAUACUCAUAAAUAAAUGCAAUCGGAAUAUGUAACUUGAAUGUAGAUAAGUACAUACGACAUCAAUUCGGAGAAAUUGAUUUAUAUAUCUAACGUCUAUAAAUUUUAAUGAGUUUUUGGUAAAUCAGACCAUGAACUGUAAUGUUAAGACUGUUACAAUUCAAAGAAGAAUAAAUUUUAAAAAUUAUAAAAACUAA